rnacentral:lncRNA from 1 species
GUAUUUUUCUGCCAGAAAGUCUUUCCCUGCCAUUAAUAUGUUAACAAAUGCUGUCAAACGCCAGUCACAGUUGACAGAGCUUGCUGUUGGCAGAGGCUGUGGGCUGCCAGACAAGGUUGUGUCUAUUCUGCAAGAACCCGCCUCCCUCUGCCAGCAGAUCUUGGCACCGGAGGUCACCUGGGGCCCGCGGCGGGACAGGCCCAGCCCGCCAGCAGUGACAGCGCCUCCUCUAUGAAUAAUGCUUCAAGAUCAUCUCUACAUUGCUGCCUGCAAAGGAGCCGCGGUGGAGAGGCAGGCGGGGCGGGAGGGGGGAGCUGAGCAGGUGCACACACGUAGGGCAGGGCAGAGGGGCAGGACGAGCUGCAUCCCGAUGCCAGAGGUGCUGUGGGCCCGAGGACGAUCCGAAAGAGAUGGAAACGUGACACAGCGGGCGGACAGAAACUUGGAUGGCGGUGCUGAGGGGUCUGGGCGGCGCGGACGAGGACAGCAGCCGGGAAGGGAGGUGCACAGGCACCAAGCUACGGUCUGGGAGGAGCAAGUGAGGGCGGCGAGUUGGGGGGAGGAGGAAGAGGAGUUUCAGCCAGCCAUGGCUGUAAAAUUGCUGCAUGACGAACCACCCGACUCCCAGCCACCGUGCAUUCCCACCAGCCUGAGGGGCGGUGCACUGCGUGGACCUGGCUUGGCCGGUGCGGCUCUGACCCUCACAUCUCUUCCUCCUGAGAGACAGCGGGCCGGCAGCGAGCUCUGCUCAUGGCGACGACAGAAGACAAACGCAAAGCUGCGAGCACUCUUGAAGCCCAGGCUGGUGUCCAGCGAGUGCCACCUGGACUGCAGGGCGAAGCUGGGCCCUCGGCAGGGCGCGGGGGAACUCGAGGCUGGGCAGCGUGGGCGGGGUGGAGGCCGGGGAGCCUGGGAGUGGGGUGCGGGGCCGCAGCGUGGACUUGCCUGGGCAGCUGUCUCCGCUCCUGUCCCCUUCUUCCUGGCGCUUGCCGUGCCCAGUCGCUGGGUUGUGAACACGGUGGCCCUGGCCCCUCUCUGGCUGGCAGCUCGGGAGUCUGCAGGUCUCUCCUG